rnacentral:lncRNA from 1 species
GUGAGGCUAGGGUUCAGUGGCUAUAACAUUCAUGUUCUCUAGAAGCCAUUAUAUGGGGUCAUGAGUAUGGUUUUUCAUAUGAACUUAGAUGGCAAGUUCAAUUGAAGGGAAUUUUUUCACCAAAACAAAGACACAAAUCCUAGGUAGCAGGAACCUGCACUGAUCAAUGAUUUGAGUUAAGGCCUACUUCAUCUUUCUCUUGGACAAUGUGUUGUUGUCAUAUUUCACUUUGAACAGAAAUGCAUAUAGGGAAAUGUUUUCCUUUCUGUCAGAAAUUAAAUUAAAAUAUCAGGAAUGAAAUAAGAUGUUAAUUGAUUCUCUGGACAAAACCUAGAACUACACUUGGGGUCCAUUAUAAUACUGAUUUGGGAAAUAAAUGGAAUACAAAUUUCUGAUGACCAUAGUAGGACUGAGUAGGGUAUAUCUCACAGACAACAGGUGACGAACAUUUGAAAAUGAUAUCCCGAGGCCUAUCUUUAACUGCCACAAAUUGACCAGUCCAGUCAUAUCAGUUAAGCAACUCUACAGGAAACCUAGAUUUUCAAUUUUGACCAUCAAAUCAAUAAAAACAAAGCAGGUCAGUAGCUUUUGACUGAGUAUUGGCUAUAAUGUUCUUGCAGGUUCUCCUUUCUUGGCAUGUAUUGUACCUGUGAUAAAAGUGCUGUUCCAAGGAGUUUUGAUGGCGGUUGAUAGAGCCAACACAUGCAUGACAAAAAAAAAAUAAAUAAGUACUUAUGUCUGAU